rnacentral:rRNA from 1 species
CACGUAGUUAGCCGGUCCUUAUUCCCCACCUACCGUCAACCCCGGAGAAAACCCCGGGCCUGCGUGAGUGGUAAAAGAGGUUUACAACCCGAAGGCCGUCAUCCCCCACGCGGCGUCGCUGCGUCAGGCUUUCGCCCAUUGCGCAAGAUUCCCCACUGCUGCCUCCCGCAGGAGUCUGGGCCGUGUCUCAGUCCCAGUGUGGCCGGUCGCCCUCUCAGGCCGGCUACCCGUAAUCGCCUUGGUAGGCCUUUACCCCACCAACAAGCUGAUAGGCCGCGAGCCCAUCCCUGACCGAAAAACUUUCCACCCUCGGGCAUGCACCCGGGGGUCUAUCCGGUAUUAGACGGCGUUUCCACCGCUUAUCCCGGAGUCAGGGGCAGGUUGCUCACGUGUUACUCACCCGUUCGCCGCUCGUGUACCCCGAAGGGCCUUACCGCUCGACUUGCAUGUGUUAAGCACGCCGCCAGCGUUCGUCCUGACGCCAGGACGUCAAAACCGUCUA